UACGUAGGGGGCUAGCGUUGCUCGGAAUCACUGGGCGUAAAGGGUGCGUAGGCGGGGCUUUAAGUCAGAGGUGAAAUCCUGGAGCUCAACUCCAGAACUGCCUUUGAUACUGAGGAUCUUGAGUACGGGAGAGGUGAGCGGAACUGCGAGUGUAGAGGUGAAAUUCGUAGAUAUUCGCAAGAACACCAGUGGCGAAGGCGGCUCACUGGCCCGUUACUGACGCUGAGGCACGAAAGCGUGGGGAGCAAACAGG
rnacentral:rRNA from 1 species